CCUUGUGAUACCUACACCUAACUAUUAGGACCCGACAUAUAGGCAAGGACCAUACUAUCAAAAUGCCCUGCAACCUUCCACCACUGCACAUAGUUUAGCUUUUGAGGAGAAGGUCUUGAAAGCACUGGAAUGAUUGGAAGUUAAUACCCAGACCCUUUACUCCCACACGCAAUCAAUUGCUAAGCUAAAGGCCUAAAUAGAUCAAUUAGCUACAGCCUUCAGUAGAAGAGAGGAGGAAAAGCUACCCAGCCAACCCAUAGGCAAUCCUAGAGGGCAGUAUAUGUUGAAAGCUUGAAUGUCCAUGAAAUCUUUUUCGAGCAAGCUAAAUCUGUGAUGACCCUUAGAAAUGAAAAGAUCUUAGAACAGCUAGAAAGAGCCAACACGUCAGGAACCCAAACUCAGACCAAAUUACCUGACAAUGAGGAAGACCCCA
rnacentral:lncRNA from 1 species